GCCUAUUGGUUGAAUGAUUAAGCCUGCUGAUUAUGUUCUCAGUCUGUACCUUGGUAUCUGAUCAAAGGUUGACUUCCAUCUAAAACAUCUUAUUCGGUCUGUAAAAAAUGCCCCUUCUGAAGAUUUGUUAUUACUUGAUGUAUAUUGGAUGAAGUUUCGAGUCCUGUUAUUGAACGAUCUUUGUAUCAUAACCAUUAGUAUAGAUGUGGUGUAAACAUUGCUCUCAA
rnacentral:lncRNA from 1 species